ACCAAAAAAUAAACAACAUUAAGGUAGCAUGCCAAAGGAUUUCUAUAGCAGAAACUCCAUUCUAUAUAGGUCAAAGGGCACCAUUUGGGAAGUAGUAUGUCAGCUCCAUUUUAAAGCUGCUUGACACAGAUAUGAGGAUGGAAAUACCAUCAGGGGACUAUAUGCCAGCUGUCUCACACACACACACACAGAAAAACACACAUAUACACACAACUCUAACACACACACACACACACAGAAACACACACACAGGAACACAAACACAGUAACAGUCAGAGAAACACAAACACAAUGCUCACAUUCUGGUAUUCAUGUCAGUUAAAAUCAAAUUAGGGAAACGUCAUGUCUCACAUUUGGGCUGAACAUUGUUAACAGUCAGGUUCUGUUCUGGAUGUUAUUUGACUGUUGCUAAGCAGGCUAAUUUCAACAGACAUAUGUCUGAAGCAGUGAGGGACACACUGAUCCUUUUCGCUCACUCUGCUUUUCUCUGCUCUUUGAGGACAUCCUGGAACAUUCAAAACAUCCAUCGUAAAACAUGGAUGGAAGGCUCUGUGUGUGAUCAACAAUAAAAACAUUGCUGAUUUUUUAUUUUUUUAAAGUUUAAUAUUCCAACCAAGAGUCUCAACAAAGAAUUCAAUUUGGCACCAAAUUCUGCAAGUUCUUGAUCUGUUUUCUAAACAUGUUUCUGCAAAACAGUCUUGGGUUAAGGUAUGAAAGAAGAAAUGCGGGCUUAACGAGUGUCAAGAAAGAAGCAGAAGAACCAGCAAAAAAGAAAGGAGAAGAAAUAAUAAAGGAAGAGAAAGACAGAGAAAUAAAAGAAAAAGGAGACGAGGAAGAGACAUGGGUGCUUGUGGCAGCUGUUAAAAGGCCUGAGAUCCUGUGGCCAGACAUGCCUGUCCCUCCUCCUCCCCCUCCUGUGCCCCCUCCUCCCCCACCCCCUUGCACUGCCCUCCCUCCACAGUCCUGGACAGAACCUUCUAAUCUCCAGAGUAAUGUAAGGGCUGGAGGAGGAGGAGGAGGAGGAAGGAGCGCCCUGCUGGCAGACAUCCAGAAAGGAGCGAGGUUAAAGAAGGUUGCACAGACCAACGACCGUAGUGCCCCCAUCUUUGAUAAGCCCAAGGCCAGUGGGGAUGGAGAUGUGUCUGGCAGUGGUGGCUCUACCCAGGGAGUAUCUGGGGCAGGUGUGGAGGCUGCCAGGCCCUCUCUAGGUGGGCUGUUUACUGGGGGGUUCCCCACACUUAGACCUGCUGGACAGAGAGACAACACAGGGAAGAAGACAGUUUCUCGCUCUAGCUCUUCAGCUGGACUGAAGCCACAGUGGAACCCACCAUCCGCAUCAACAGAAAACGGCCACACCCCUGACCCAUCCUUGCCUUCCCAUUGGCCGACAGAGAGAGAAAGCCCUGCCCACCGACCUGCCCACACAGCCUCAGCCCCCUCCUCCCCCUCUCACAUCAAACCACCGCCCCUUAUUACUGCCCCCUCUAUCCCCCCCCCCCUCCCUCCCUCCUUCCAUGAACGCCCCAGCAGCAAACCUCCCCCGCCCCCCCCUACCCAAACCACCAAGCCAACAUGGCUGCCAAUCCAGCAGCCUCAACCUUUAACCCAGCCCUCCACCCCUCCUCCCCCACCUCCCCCCUCAACGCCCUCCUCCUCUCUCCCCAACCGCUACUCUGGGUCCUUCUUCCCUCUGCCUCCUCCUCCUCCCAUCCUCUCCUCCUCUACUUAUGAAUCUAGGUUCUUCUUCCCCAGUCCUCUCUCCCCCCCUCCAGCUCCCCCUGAUUCCUUUACCCCCAGCUGCUCGUCCACUCUACACCCUCCACCACCCAAGAUCCCCCCAGGGCCACCCCCAACCACAAGGCCCCCGGUGCCCCCUCUACCUCCAUCUUAUCCCUGUGCCGCCCCCAGCAGAAGACCGCCAGCCGUCCCCAGGAGUGCUGGUGUGGGGAGGUCAUUGGCCCCUCCACCCGCGCCCCCGGCCCGAUCCCCAUCCACUGAGCUGACCAGUCGGAUCCCUCCCCCUCCUCCCCCCCCCCCCCCUUCCUUAAUGAAGAAUGGACACAGUCUACACAGCCUGGAUGACUUUGAGUCCAAGUUUCAGUUCCACUCCAUAGAAGACCUCCCCCCCCCCGAGGUGUUCAGAUCCUUUCCACGCACGUAUCCCAGCAAAGAGGACAGAGGAGUCCAACCCAAACCUCCAGGGCUACAGACACACAUGCGGUGAAACAACCUGGAUCCUGUUCUGAUCUUCCACACUCCCACACACCGAUUCAGCAUUUGGCCCUAUCGGCCUCUUCCUCGUUCUCAUCAGUCCCGAAGGCCCAUGGACUAAUGGACAACAGAGUCCUUGUGUGUGUGUGUGUGUGUGUGUUGUGAAUACAAUACAGUGUCACACCCAGUACUGGAUAUGUGACCUCCAACCUUCUCCAGUGUGGAAUGUUUUGAAUGUGGAGUGCUGUCCACAAUCUGCCUACACCCUCUGUCUUUCACCCCUCCCAGUCUUCCAGAGACGAUAUCCACACACUCUCUGUCUCACUCAGUGUUUGUGUCCACUGUUACUGCUGAAGAGGUGAAGAAAUCUGUGGUGGUAUUUGAAGAUGUUAUUUUUUUAAAGUGUAUUACAGUUAAUUUGAAUGCUGACUGGACUGUAUCACCAAAUAGUUUGAAACAAUCAUGGAUCCUCUAUGAACAUUGACAAGUAGACUAUCACAAUGUAAAUAUGGUUGUUUUAUGGUUGUCUUAUGGUUGUUUUAUGGUUUUAUGGUUGUCUUAUGGUUCCGUCAAUAUUUUUUUUAAAUAUAUUUUCAUACACUUGAUACUUUAUUGGAUAUGAAAGUGGCGAAAUAUUGAUUAGCCUUUUUACUAAAAGAACAGUAGGUCAGAUUCAGUACCACACUACAUAACAUUUUAAGAUUUAAAUAAAAAUAUUAUUUUAAUAUAAUGUCCUUCUUCCCAAUCACAUCUUUCAUGUAAAACACUACCUUAAAAUCAACUUUGUGUUAAUAUCUUUAUGCUCCCCCCACCCCACCAACUCAGAGAUGAAAAUGAAACCAUUAAAUGAUGAGAGAAACAGGAAAAUGCACUGGAAAUGUGUAAUGCAGGGGGAAUGUUAGGAUGCAGUAUGGUCUGAAUCUGUUCUCAAUGACUUGCAACCCACUAAACAUAACAAUCCUAUCUCACUAUUGAAGACAUUAUGACACUAGUAUUGAACUACCUACCAUUUUAAUAUGGAGAAAGCUAUGUGAUGCAAUUCUUAGAUUUCUGUUAUACUACAUCAUACAAUCAGAAAUAUUGUUUAUUGUGUACUAUCAAGAGUUGUUCAUGAUUGCCUUAUAUAAAGCACUGGAUCCCAACAGGCUAUCAUAGUCUACUAUAUUAGAGGCUAAAACUCCUGGGUCCAUUCAUGAGUACAGUACAUCACUGAAAAACAGCGCCUCCUGGUGGACCAUAGUGAUGAGACAUUCUCAGCAGGGAUAAUUUUGUUCUGGAAUAUUAGGGAGAUGUUUUAUUAAACUGCUUCUAAACAUUAUGUAUGGUUUCUACUGUGCAUAAACCCAUAUUUCUGGGCUACUUGAAUACUGAAACAGAUCAGAUAGAUAAGGUCUCAAGAAUCAUUUUAAAAUAAGAAAUGAAACUAGUCAUGUAGUACAUGAUUGAAUGACUAGUUAAUAAAUUGGAUACCUUUUUGUGAGCAUCAAGA